UCGGGACCGACCAGGUCUCUCCCACUCCUCCCCCCUUCAACAAAAUGCAUAAUACUCCAAAUUUUUGCUCGGCCACCUAUCAUGCCAUUACCGCCGCUAGCCCCCACUUAACUCUCGCCAUCUUUAUCGCUCUAAUGACGCACACAAAGGACAACGAUACCUGAUCGUAGAGAUACUAUAACAGAGAUUCGACAACGCGUUAAUGAUUUCUGAUUGGCUCCCGUCGCUUGGGGUAUAACCGGAAGUGAGAGAGAAAGAUAUAUAUAACUAAGAAAGAAAGCUUAGCCGACCUAACCUGUCACCUGUCGAAAGAAAACAGCGUGCCUACUGCCUAAAUAAUCAACAUUGAACUAAACUGGUUAAAAGUACAUUAAUCAUACAACGAAAAAAAAAAUAUCGAUCUCGGUUGAUCGAUUAUAAAGUGAAAAUAUAUAAAAGUGUCAACACUUGUGCAAUUUAUAAGGUGAAUAAAAAAUGCCUAAUAGCUGCUGUGCCGGCUAUUGUACUAAUACAAAUAUAAAAGGAUAUCAGAUAUGUCGAUUUCCAAAAGAUUCGGAAAGAAAAA